rnacentral:lncRNA from 10 species
UCUGCCGGUGCUGCUGCGCCCUGCGGAGCUCCGAACACGUGCGCAGAGGCUGGCUGUGGCAGAUGCAACUGCAGGAUGACUUGAAAGUAGGGCAUCCUUCACCCAUCUGAAGGGAGGAAAUAGUGGCAGGUGACAGUCUGCAUGUGCAGUUUUCAGAUGCCUUCACCUGAAUGACAUCUACCUCCAUCAGGACCCCAGAUGUCUGACAGCCCUGUGUGACACCAAGAUAAGUAACAAUCUGGCUGCUGACUACCCUAUUGGACAACUCCAAUAUUAGAGAACAUUUCCACCAAUUCAGAAAGUUUAUUAUGCACUGCUGUUCUAGAGCAGGGAUCAGCAAACUUGCUGUAAAGAGCCAGGAUCCCGUUGAAGAUACCACAUUACACUUAGGCUCCUGUUGGCCAUGACAGCUUCUUAGACUUGUUUUUAAUGACCUUGACAGUUUUGUUUUUUUGUUUGUUUGUUUUUGAGACGGAGUCUCUGUCAUCCAGGCUGGAGUGCAAUGUAAUGGCUCAAUCUCAGCUCACUGCAACCUCUGCCUCCCGGGUUCAAGUGAUUCUCCUGCCUCAGCCUCCCCAGUAGCUGGGAUUACAGGCAUGAGCCACCGUGCCCGGCUGCCUCCUAAAUUCUCAAAACAUUCCAUUUUUAUUCUGUGGUCUUACUUUAUUCUGUCAUGUAGAGAAUAGUGGUUGAGCCUGUUGUCUUUUGAGAGUGGAUGCUGUAGUCCUUACAUGGCUGACUUUCAGCCCGUAAGCUUAUAGUAGAGGAUGGGGAUUUUGUUAUCAGCUGCUAAAAGGGAGAAGCCAAGCCCAGAACUAAGGGUUCUGAUGAGUUGAAGGAGAGGGAAGAUGCCCCUCAAGGCAAA